ensembl:lncRNA
AUGAUCUCUCUCUCUCUCAGUUUAAUGCACUUGACUAAUUUGCUUAAUUUUGAAAUGAUAAUGUUUCAUUCUGUUUUGACUUGCCAUUUCAAAGACUACAUAUUAACAAUACUACACUUCGUUAAAAAUGUAUGUGAUCAUUUAACCAUUAUCAUGCAUCUUGUUUAUCAUGGGUCACAUAAUAUGCUGCCAGAUCAUAGCCUGAUUUGGGCCACAUAUCACCUGACUGAUCUGGGCCACACUCCUCCCACCAACAAUCGGCCCUCAUAUUGUUUGCCGGAUCCCCGCCCUGCCGUCAUUGCCACACAUGGCCCAACUCUGGCUGAAAGGGUACAUGCCAUUGCCGACAGGAGGCCAGCAGUGCCAGCUUGAGGACACAUUUGGGCCAAGUCCGUUUGCUAUGUGGGUUGUUGAUCAAGAACAUAGUGGUGAUAAAUAGCAGGUUUUUAUAUUAAUACAUUUAAAAUGCUUCUCACCACUUCGAUCAGCAGCUCCUCCUCUCAUGACCCGAGCCACAACUAGCUAGAUGUUCAUAAAUCUGGAUGGACCAGUUGCAAGCAAGCAUUCCCAGUUUGCCUUGUAAAUCAAUAUGUGAGUGUCAGGAUAAUUCCAAGUAGAAAUCUGGACAGAAGCAUCUUUAGAGAGGGGGAUACUUGUGUGAAGAUCACAAUAUGUAUCCUAAACAUGUUAUGUAGUGACAGCUGAGGAUUAAAUGUUACAUGAAACCAUGGCGGGGGGAAAAAUGAGCGUGACUCAUUUUUGAGUGUGUGUAAAAACUAAAAAGCUCAAAUUAGGACAAAAAAAAGCUGUUGUUUAAAUCACACAGAUGUGUUGACACUAUAUGUUAAACAUCUGAUCCAUGUUGUUUUACUGUCUGAAGGAAAAAUCAGCAGCCAAUGAAAUUAAUCUUUCUGGUUCAUUGGAUCUAAAAAUACAUCAAAUUUGGCCUUGAUGAAUUAGAUACAUGUCUGUGUUUUGCUACAGUUCCAUAUCCAUUAGCACCAUCUCACAUCACUUAUAGAAAAAUCAUUCUUUUCUUUUCAUGCACAUCAUCUCCCAAGACAAUCAGUACACUGACCGUGGCCACAAUACCACAGCAACACUACAGUUGUUUAGGUUGAACCCUCCAAAACAUUUUAACAACUUGCAGAGUUCCUAAAAUAAACUAAUCCAAACUAUGAUGAAAUUUAAGUCCUUUGAAAGGCCUCUUAGAUUACUGGUUUCAGGAGGCCAAGCUUUAACAAGCGUGUACCGAAGCAGACAAUGAGAUAUAUGAUGCUACAAGGGGCACUGAUAUAUGACAAAUUGCCUGUAGUCCUUAAUCACAGGGCUAAGGCCCCCUAUUAGUAGGACAAAAAGAUCUCUCCAGAUUGUGGAGUACUUUUUAAUUCCUUCUCAUGCUUCUUACAUUGAAAAUGGAAAAGCCAUGGCCCAAUGUUUAUAACUCUCUACCCAUGGUACAGAGAGAAAAAAAAGGCAAAAAAACAAAAAACAGAUGGGUUCUGUUCCAAGCCUCUUGAAAAUGGCAUGCUCAAAGAGAGAACACUCCCAUGGCAACAUCACUGAUCAUCAUUUGUAAGGUAACCCCCAUCUGCCAGGUCUGACUUCCACUACAGAAGUCCCUUUAAACUACAAAUAUUUUCACUGGAACAUCGAGCACAGACCAACCCUGAUGACGGGAAAUGCAGGCACUUUUAUUUGUACAGUAUCUGAGUAUGCUACUGGGUUGAUGGCAGAGCACUAGUUUCAGAUGUCAUGUAGACGACCA